CAGCAGCCGCGGUAAUACGAGGGGGGCAAGCGUUGUUCGGAAUGAUUGGGCGUAAAGGGUGCGUAGGCGGUUUGAUAAGUCAUCUGUGAAAUCUCUGGGCUCAACCCAGAGUCUGCAGGCGAAACUGUCGGGCUUGAGUAUGGGAGAGGUGAGUGGAAUUUCCGGUGUAGCGGUGAAAUGCGUAGAUAUCGGAAGGAACACCUGUGGCGAAAGCGGCUCACUGGACCAUAACUGACGCUGAUGCACGAAAGCUAGGGGAGCAAACAGGAUUAGAUACCCGCGUAGUCCCUGUCUCUUAUAC
rnacentral:rRNA from 1 species